rnacentral:rRNA from 1 species
AUUGAACGCUGGCGGCAGGCCUAACACAUGCAAGUCGAACGAGUGGCGGACGUGUGAGUAAUGUCUGGGAAACUGCCUGAUUGAGGGGGAUAACUACUGGAAACGGUAGCUAAUACCGCAUACCAUCGGAUGUGCCCAGAGGUGAUUAGCUAGUAGGUGGGGUAAAGGCUCACCUAGGCGACGAUCCCUCGCUGGUCUGAGAGGAUGACCAGCGACACUGGGACUGAGACACGGUCCAGACUCCUACGGGAGGCAGCAGUGGGGAAUAUUGGACAAUGGGCGCAAGACUGAUGCAGACAUGCCGCGGGUAUGAAGAAGGCCUUCGGGUUGUAAAGUACUGUCAGCGGGGAGGCGUUACCCGAAGAAGAAGCAACGGCUAACUACGUGCCAGCCGCCGCGGUAAUAC